CUCCAACGCCGCCGACCUCCGCAUCUUCCACGCGGAGCGCCACUCCCCGACGCCUCUCGAUUCAGUCCUUUCGCUCGCGCGCAACGACCUCACCCGCCUCGCCUUCCUCUCCCGGAAAGUCACCUCCGUCCCCGUCGCCUCCGGCCAGCAGGUGCUGCAGUCCUCCUCCUACGUCCUCCGCGCUAAGCUCGGCUCCCCCGGGCAGCUCCUCCUUCUCGCCCUCGACACCAGCGCCGAUGCCGCCUGGACCUCCUGCUCCCCUUGCUCCACCUGCCCCUCCUCCUCCGCCCUCUUCCUCCCUGCUAACUCCUCCACCUACUCCCCCCUCCCCUGCUACUCCUCCUGGUGCCCCCAGUUCAAGGGCCAGUCCUGCGCCGCCGAC
rnacentral:lncRNA from 1 species